UGCCUGUGCAGAAGGCUGGGGCUGACGCCGCGCCAAGAGUGGAGGGCUCUGCGGGCUCCAGAGCCUCUCGCCGGGAAGCUGCUCCCCAGGCACCCACCCACGCGCACACGGCCCUCAGGAGCCCUGGCGGAGGGCGGGCUGGGUGUGCACAUGCGUGUGUGUGUGUCCAAGAGUGUGCGCGGAAACGCUAAGUGACUUGUACAAGCUCAUCCUGCAGGGCCGGGGGAGAGCUGAGCCCGAGGAGGGACUGAGCCCAAGGAAGGACUUCCUCUCCUGGCCCUGAGGGUGGUUGGACCCACAGCUGCAGAUGAAGUUCUUGGCCACACAGAAAAUUGGGGCUGACCCCCACCCGUGCAGGCCCCAGGUUGGAAGUGGGCCACAUACAUGGGAACUGUCCACUGAAGUACAGGUGACCUCAGAGGAGGACCAAGGUGAUCCGGCUGGGGCAAGGACAGCAUCUGUAGCCCGCGUGUCCACAGGGAGCAUCUGAGUCCUGGAGAAGUGUGGUGGUUUCUGGGCCGGGAAAGUAGGGCUAGGGUGGAGAGUGUGGGUGUGGGGGAGGAGGAUGCCGUAAACCCUGCCCUGCCCUGCCCUGGGGGUCUCACUCACAGGCACAGAGCUGGACAGCAUUUUCACUAACGUAAUCUUUCUACUUGCCUGGAAGAAUCUGAGGAAGGUUAUCUGAGCCUAGUCUCACCAGAUGCCACGCAAUUCAGUAUGGCCUUGCUGAGGGUUCUCUCCAUGGCCCCCAGCCUGUGAGGGACACACAAUAUUUACUAACUCACUGGUGGCUGAGUCAUCAUCCACUCGUUCAUUUAUUCCACAAAGACGGCUCUGAUCACACCCGCGGCAAGUGGCCGGCACUCCCUGGAGCUCCAGGCAUCUUGUCUCUCGCAUGCACCAGGCUCUCUGCAGCAGAUGCUCUUGGGUGUUCCUGUGGGCAGGGCACACCCCGUCCUCCACACAGCCCAGCUCCCAGCUCGGUGCCUGACCUAGGCCAGCCCUUGGUGAAGAGCAGGGAAACGGACGGCAGACAUGGGGGCAGGCAUGGGGCGCAGAGGGGACCCCACCUGCCUCCCACAAGCUGCCCGUAGCUGGAGGGCUGUUCAUAAAUAAUUCGAGCUCAGGUGUGAGGGGUGUAUCGCUUCCCUCAUCCCAGUGGGGCUGCAACACACAAGGGUGAAACUGACUUCAGCGACAGGAGCCCGGGGUGGGGGAGGGCCGGAUGUCCUGAGUCCCGGGGUCACAGAUGUCUCGGAUGGUGGGAUAUUCUCAGAGCCCUCAAGCCACGUGGAAAACACAUCCUGAGCCUUUCCAGCAGGAAGAGCAGGUGAAGAAGGUUGGAGAACCUAGAUGCCAGAUUGAGGCUUAGCUCUGUUCUCUGCUGGCAACUGGCAAGCCGUUUAAUGUCUCUGAGCCUCAGUUUCCCAUUUGUAAAAUGGGAACCAUGGCAGUGCCUACCCCUCAGGUUGCUGUGAAGACUAAACGAGAUGAUAUAGGUAAAGGGGACGGAACAGGGCCUGGUGUAUAGUAGAUAAGUAUUUGUUAUUUUUAGCAUUUAUUUCUUCAUUCUUUCCUUCCCACAAGUGUUUGUCAAGCACAAACUAUGUGCUAGGCCCUGGGGAUGUAGCUGAAAGUAAGGAUCCCAGUGCCUUGGAGCAUAUUGGUUCCAGCCCAAGAUACCUACUGCAGCAGCUGCUCUGUGGGUGACGUGAGUUCCAGGGCAUGAGCCUGAUUUUUAAAUUGCAAAGUAAUAAUGAUGAUACCAAAUCUGGGGCCAGGAUGGGAAGCAGGUAUCCUUCUCCCCAAAGGCCUCCCGGCAGCUGGCUGAGAGACACAUUCUAUGUGGGAGGCAGGAGGCAGGAGCCCCAAGUGUUGGAGCCGUGGGUCCCCUGAAUGCAGAGAAACCGUACCACUACCAUCAACAGAAAAGCACAUCAUCUGCCCUGAGUAGAAGGCAAUACACACAAGAAAGGCUAGCCAGCUCCCUCCUGACGCUGCUGCCUGCAGGACAGCUCUGAGGCCUGCUCUCUGCGAAUAAGUGAGAUUAAUGAGUGCUAGAAAGAUGUUAGAGCUUGCUAGCAUCAAACUCCUUGAUAUAAUUAGCAGCUGUUGAAAAGGAACUUAUUGAAAAGGGAAUAACUUUCUUCCGGUGGAGUUCAUGUUAUUUAACUGGGGUACCAGCCUCACACAGAGGGCAAAAUCGUCUUACAGGGAGAAGAUAGCUGGAUUCCCAUAUCUGCUUCUGCAUCCAGUCUGUUGUGAUAUCACGUGUCAUGUCGCCUCUGGAAAGUGCCACUCUACACUUAGAAGUUCAAGAAUGAGAAGAAAAAGGCGGAUAAUGUCUCAGUGUUAUUAUGAAAAUAUUUUUGACCUUGUGGAUCCCCCAGGGAUUCCUUGGCCACACUUUGAGAACUGCUGCACUAUGCCAUUAAUGUUCAUUGAUGACACAUCAAUAUACACAAUGUAUCACCACUACACAUUUUAUAAAGUCUCAGGCAUAUUCAAGGCUGUAUAUCAAAUACAUUGACUCAGCCCCUGUGGAAUACAGGAAGGGAAUGGGAUAAAAGGGGGAAUGAAAUAAAUAAGAUAAAGCAAGAAAGAAUCUG
rnacentral:lncRNA from 1 species